AGGUUACUGCUAUCGAGGUUCGACUAAGCCAUGCGAGUCGAAUGUAGCAAUACAUGGCGUACUGCUCAGUAACACGUGGACAACCUACCCUUGGGACGGGGAUAAACCCGGGAAACUGGGUAUAAUACCCGAUAGAUCUCGGACGCUGGAAUGCAUCGAGAUCGAAAGCUCCGGUGCCCAAGGAUGGGUCUGCGGCCUAUCAGGUAGUAGUGGGUGUAGCGUACCUACUAGCCUACGACGGGUACGGGUUGUGAGAGCAAGAGCCCGGAGAUGGAUUCUGAGACACGAAUCCAGGCCCUACGGGGUGCAGCAGGCGCGAAAACUUUACAAUGCCGGCAACGGCGAUAAGGGGACCUCGAGUGCCAGGUUACAAAUCUGGCUGUCGUAAUGCCUAAAAAGCAUUUCAUAGCAAGGGCCGGGCAAGACCGGUGCCAGCCGCCGCGGUAACACCGGCGGCUCGAGUGGUAACCGUUAUUAUUGGGUCUAAAGGGUCUGUAGCCGGCCGGAUAAGUCUCUUGAGAAAUCUGGCAGCUUAACUGUCAGGCUAUCAGGGGAUACUGUCUGGCUCGAGGCCGGGAGAGGUGAGAGGUACUUCAGGGGUAGGGGUGAAAUCUUGUAAUCCUUGAAGGACCACCAGUGGCGAAGGCGUCUCACCAGAACGGACCUGACGGCAAGGGACGAAAGCUAGGGGCACGAACCGGAUUA
rnacentral:rRNA from 1 species